CUCCUUUGGGAGGUCUUAUCUCCCCUCCCUUGUCAGUCAAUUCAAGGCAAUAAAAUUGUUCAAAUCAGUUUGUCUCCCCAAAUUUGAAUUUUAUGAAUAACAUGUUUUGUCAGUCAUUUGGGAUACAUCUAUGUGGAGCUUCGGUUGCAGACAAAUUUUGCCAACGCAGUUUGGUAAAACCAAUUCAGAAAAAUCAAAAGGUCACAAAAAUGUGCCAAUCAUUGUAGUGCAAAAUAUAUACAUAG